ensembl:misc_RNA Metazoa_SRP Metazoan signal recognition particle RNA
GCCGGGCGUGGUGGUGCACGCCUGUAAUCCCAGCUACUCGGGAGGCUGAGGCAUGAGAAUCGCUUGAACCCAGGAGGUGGAGGUUGCAGUGAGCCAAGACUGUACCCAUUGCACUCCAGCCUGGGUGACAGAGCAAGACUCUGUCUCCA